AAGUCGUAACAAGGUUUCCGUAGGUGAACCUGCGGAAGGAUCAUUACCGAACUGUCGACACGAGCUGUUGCUGGCCCCCGAAAGGGGACACGUGCACGCUCUGUUUACACAUCCACUCACACCUGUGCACCCUCUGUAGCUCUAUGGCCUUGGGGACCCUGUCCCCUUGCUGUGGUCCUACGUCUUUACACACACACAUCGUAACAAAGUCUCAUGGAAUGUAUGUCGCGUUUAACGCAAUACAAUACAACUUUCAGCAACGGAUCUCUUGGCUCUCGCAUCGAUGAAGAACGCAGCGAAAUGCGAUAAGUAAUGUGAAUUGCAGAAUUCAGUGAAUCAUCGAAUCUUUGAACGCACCUUGCGCCCUUUGGCUAUUCUGAAGGGCAUGCCUGUUUGAGUAUCAUGAACACCUCAACUCUCAUGGUCCGCCAUGAUGAGCUUGGACUUUGGGGGUCUUGCCGGCCUAGCGUCGGCUCCUCUCAAAUGGAUCAGCUUCCCAGUGUUUGGUGGCGUCACAGGUGUGAUAACUAUCUACGCUUGUGGUUUCCUGCCAUUAACCUUCAGCAAUGGAGGUUCGCUGGAGCUCACAGAUGUCUCUCCUUGGGGAGGACAGCUUUUGAAUGUCUGAUCUCAAAUCAGGUAGGACUACCCGCUGAACUUAAGCAUAUCAAUAAGCGGA
rnacentral:rRNA from 1 species